rnacentral:piRNA from 1 species
CAUCAAUGUAAUCGACCAGUGUGGUAUC